rnacentral:piRNA from 1 species
UGAGGCCCCUCGUUCACACGGCGAA